ANAGUUUGAUGAUGGCUCAGAAUGAACGCUGGCGGCGUGCUUAACACAUGUUAAGUCGCACGAGAACGCUUCAGCUUGCUGAAGUUAGUAAAGUGGCGCACGGGUGAGUAACGCGUGGGUAAUCUACCCCCGAAUUGGGGAUAACAUCGCGAAAGCGAUGCUAAUACCGAAUGAUAUCUUGAAAAUUUAUGUUUUCUGGAUCAAAGAUGGCCUCUACAUGUAAGCUAUUGUUUGGGGAUGAGCCCGCGUACCAUUAGCUUGUUGGUAGGGUAAUAGCCUACCAAGGCAACGAUGGUUAGCUGGUCUGAGAGGAUGAUCAGCCACACUGGAACUGACACACGGUCCAGACUCCUACGGGAGGCAGCAGUGAGGAAUUUUGCGCAAUGGGGGAAACCCUGACGCAGCAACGCCGCGUGAGUGAUGAAGGCUUUCGGGUCGUAAAGCUCUGUCAAGUGGGAAGAAACCAUAUGGUAUUAAUACCGCCAUAUGCUGACGGUACCACUGAAGGAAGCACCGGCUAACUCCGUGCCAGCAGCCGCGGUAAUACGGGGGGUGCGAGCGUUAUUCGGAAUUACUGGGCGUAAAGAGCGCGUAGGCGGUCUUUUAAGUCAGGUGUGAAAGCCCGGGGCUCAACCCCGGAAGUGCACUUGAAACUAAGAGACUUGAGUAUGGGAGAGGGAAGUGGAAUUCCUGGUGUAGCGGUGAAAUGCGUAGAUAUCAGGAGGAACAUCGGUGGCGAAGGCGACUUCCUGGACCAAUACUGACGCUGAGGCGCGAAGGCGUGGGGAGCAAAC
rnacentral:rRNA from 1 species